rnacentral:rRNA from 1 species
GACGAACGCUGGCGGCGUGCUUAACACAUGCAAGUCGAACGGAAAGGCCCUGCUUGCAGGGUACUCGAGUGGCGAACGGGUGAGUAACACGUGGGUGAUCUGCCCUGCACUUCGGGAUAAGCCUGGGAAACUGGGUCUAAUACCGGAUAGGAGCCAUUUUUAGUGUGAUGGUUGGAAAGUUUUUUCGGUGUAGGAUGAGCUCGCGGCCUAUCAGCUUGUUGGUGGGGUAAUGGCCUACCAAGGCGGCGACGGGUAGCCGGCCUGAGAGGGUGGACGGCCACAUUGGGACUUAGGUACGGCCCAGACUCCUACGGGAGGCAGCAGUGGGGAAUAUUGCACAAUGGGCGCAAGCCUGAUGCAGCGACGCCGCGUGGGGGAUGACGGCCUUCGGGUUGUAAACUCCUUUCGCUAGGGACGAAGCUUUUUGUGACGGUACCUAGAUAAGAAGCACCGGCUAACUACGUG